rnacentral:rRNA from 1 species
AUUGAACGCUGGCGGCAUGCCUUACACAUGCAAGUCGAACGGCAGCAUGGAAGAGCUUGCUCUUCUGAUGGCGAGUGGCGAACGGGUGAGUAAAGCAUCGGAACGUACCGUGUAAUGGGGGAUAACGUAGCGAAAGUUACGCUAAUACCGCAUACGACCUGAGGGUGAAAGCAGGGGAUCGCAAGACCUUGCGUUAUACGAGCGGCCGAUGUCAGAUUAGCUAGUUGGUGAGGUAAAGGCUCACCAAGGCGACGAUCUGGAGCGGGUCUGAGGGGAUGAUCAGACACACUGGGAGUGAGACGCGGACCAGACGCCUAGGGGAGGGAGCAGGGGGGAAUUCUGGAUAAGGGGGGCAACCCUGAGCCAGCCAGGCCGCGUGAGGGAAGAAGGCCUUCGGGUUGUAAAGCUCUUUCGGCCGGGAAGAAAUCGCACAGGCUAAUACUUUGUGUGGAUGACGGUACCGGCAUAAGAAGCACCGGCUAACUACGUGCCUGCAGCCGCAGUAA